rnacentral:rRNA from 1 species
CAUGUAGGCGGAUAUGCAAGCUUGGUGUGAAAGGCAGGGGCUUAACUCCUGGACUGCGUUGAGAACUGCAUAACUAGAGUAACUGAGGGGCAACCGGAAUUCCAGGUGUAGGGGGUGAAAUCUGUAGAUAUCUGGAAGAACACCAAUGGCGAAGGCAGGUUACCAGCAGAUUACUGACGCUGAGGUGCGAAGGUGCGGGGAGCAAACA